AUAGGUAUAGCUUAAUGGUUAAAGCUGCGGGCUUUUAAUUCGUCGAUCUAGGUUCGAUUCCUGGUACCCCUA
rnacentral:tRNA from 1 species